rnacentral:rRNA from 1 species
CUGGCUCAGGAUGAACGCUAGCGAUAGGCCUAACACAUGCAAGUCGAGGGGCAUCACAUGAAGUAGCAAUACGGAUGGUGGCGACCGGCGCACGGGUGAGUAACACGUAUGCAACCUGCCUUCAACAAGGGGAUAACCCGUUGAAAGACGGACUAAUACCCUAUAACACAGGGGCCCCGCAUGGGGAUAUUUGUUAAAGAUUAAUCGGUUGAAGAUGGGCAUGCGUUCCAUUAGCUAGUUGGUGGGGUAAUGGCCCACCAAGGCAACGAUGGAUAGGGGAACUGAGAGGUUUAUCCCCCACACUGGUACUGAGACACGGACCAGACUCCUACGGGAGGCAGCAGUGAGGAAUAUUGGUCAAUGGACGCAAGUCUGAACCAGCCACGUCCGCGUGAAGGAAGACGGCCCUACGGGUUGUAAACUUCUUUUGCAAGGGAAUAAAGUGAGUCACGUGUGACUUUUUGCAAGUACCUUGCGAAUAAGGAUCGGCUAACUCCGUGCCAGCCGCCGC